rnacentral:lncRNA from 1 species
UCGCAGAUAAGUGUAGAAGGAUAGUGUGUGGGGGGGUUGUAACUAGUAGUUAGGGAGCUCUUGUGUAGCGGGUUAGUAAUCCUAGGACUGUGCCCAUUGGUAGGAGCCUCUAGUGUAUGCUACUAAUAGAUGGGUGUCCUUUCUUAUUUCUUAUUUCCUAUUCUUAUUUUUGUAUUGCUCUUAUUUAUAUUUUUAUUAUUUCUUAUUUCUUAUUUCGGUUAUGCCACCCAUCCUAUUUCAUGUAUUACUAUGACCUUGUUAACUAUUCUUUAUCUUGAGCCGGGGGUCUAUCGUAAACAACCUCUCUACUUUUUUGGAGGUAGCGGUAUGGACUGUGUAUAUUUUACCAUCCCUAGACCCUAGUUGGUGGGAAUACACUAGGUUU